UCCCUCCCUGCACGCGGCGCUCCUUUCCCCUCCCGCGCCGCCACCCAAAAUCCCCACCGAGCUCCAGGCCUCCCGCAUCCCGCCGCCCGUUCUUUCCCCUCCCGCGCCGCCCGGCCACCCAAAACUUGGUCCGCCUCCCGCGCCGCCAUCCACCGAGCUCCCGGCCUCCCGCAUCCCGCCGCCCCUUCUUCCCCUCCUGCGCCGCCACUCCAUUUUUUCCCCAGCCUCCCGCGCCGCCAUCCCGAGCUCCCGCAUCCCCCCCAUCCCCCGGUCGCGUCUCCGUCCCAGGCGCUCCGCUGGUGGGGGACGAUGCUUUGUGCCGCCGCUCGUCGGUGGGGGCGAGGCUUUGCGCUGCCGCCCGCCGAAGACACGCCGCGCCGGACGGUGAAUGGGCCCCAAGCUGCGAGGCCGUCGAUGAACCCCCAAGUCGCGAAGCUCCGAUGUUCCCAAGAUCCAGCCACGUUUCCUCCAUCUGUAGUUGCCGCACAUGGUACACCGAGGCAGCCUGUUCUUCCCGUCGGCUCCAUCCUCCCCUUGCUGAUCCGGUGCUUUGACUCAACGGGUUGGCUCCCCAAGCAAGUUCAUGGUGGCAUCCUCCUUGACGUGAAGAAAGCAAGGUAUACCAUGGGAGAAUCUCUCCAGGAAGGUCACCAAAAGAAAGCAAGGUGAGGAUAUGUGUACAGGCAGUUCAAUGUUUGUUUACUUUAGUAAGAUUGCCUUAAGUGUAGUACUGUAACUUUACAAGCAAUGAUAUCUCUGUUGUUGGCAUGAAGCUGUUUGCCAAGAAGGGCUCAGGUCGACAUUUUCUACCUCAAGGUUUGGAGGUUUUACUGAAAAUGUUUGAUUGAAGUCGUCGGUUUCCAGCAGGCAGAGUGUCUAGAAUAGUUUCUGUUGUUUAUGUAUAGUUGAUUCUUCUGUCAGAUUCAUGUGUACUAAGAUUAUCGUGGCCAAACAUUUCGAUUGUCAUGAUUGUAUAUAUGCUAUAAUGUAAUGAUAGAUGUGUUCUGGUUGACUUGAUAAAGUCAUUUGAGUCAACUCUGGUGUAUUUGAGAAGCAUAUUUAAAUGAUAUUUGUAUUAUUGAAAUGUGGCAUCUGUAUAAAAUUAAAUAUGAUUACCCUGUCA